rnacentral:rRNA from 1 species
AUUGAACGCUGGCGGCAUGCCUUACACAUGCAAGUCGAACGGUAACAGGUCUUCGGAUGCUGACGAGUGGCGAACGGGUGAGUAAUACAUCGGAACGUGCCUAGUAGUGGGGGAUAACUACUCGAAAGAGUGGCUAAUACCGCAUGAGAUCUACGGAUGAAAGCAGGGGAUCGCAAGACCUUGUGCUACUAGAGCGGCCGAUGGCAGAUUAGGUAGUUGGUGGGAUAAAAGCUUACCAAGCCGACGAUCUGUAGCUGGUCUGAGAGGACGAACAGCCUGACUGGGACUGAGACACGGCCCAGACGCCGACGGGAGGCGGAAGUAGGGAAUUUUGGACGAUGGGCGCAAGCCUGAUCAAGCAAUGCUGCGUGCAGGAUGAAGGCCUUCGGGUUGUAAACUGCUUUUGUAAGGAACGAAAAGCCCUGGGUUAAUACCUUGGGGUCAUGACUGUACCGUAAGAAUAAGCACCGGCUAACUACGUGCCAGCCGCCGUCGUAAAAC